rnacentral:rRNA from 1 species
UACGGAGGGCGCAAGCGUUAUCCGGAUUCACUGGGUUUAAAGGGUGCGUAGGCGGACAGGUAAGUCAGUGGUGAAAUCUCUGGGCUUAACCCAGAAACUGCCGUUGAUACUAUUUGUCUUGAAUAUCCUGGAGGUAGGCGGAAUAUGUCAUGUAGCGGUGAAAUGCUUAGAUAUGACAUAGAACACCGAUAGCGAAGGCAGCUUACUACAGGAUGAUUGACGCUGAGGCACGAAAGCGUGGGGAGCAAACAGGA